rnacentral:rRNA from 1 species
CCUACGGGAGGCAGCAGUGGGGAAUAUUGGACAAUGGGCGAAAGCCUGAUCCAGCAAUGCCGCGUGAGUGAUGAAGGCCUUCGGGUCGUAAAGCUCUUUUACCAGGGAUGAUAAUGACAGUACCUGGAGAAUAAGCUCCGGCUAACUCCGUGCCAGCAGCCGCGGUAAUACGGAGGGAGCUAGCGUUGUUCGGAAUUACUGGGCGUAAAGAGUACGUAGGCGGUUAUUCAAGUCAGAGGUGAAAGCCCGGGGCUCAACCCCGGAACUGCCUUUGAAACUAGAUAACUAGAGUCUUGGAGAGGUUAGUAGAAUUCCGAGUGUAGAGGUGAAAUUCGUAGAUAUUCGGAAGAACACCAGUGGCGAAGGCGACUAACUGGACAAGUACUGACGCUGAGGUACGAAAGCGUGGGGAGCAAACAGGAUUAGAUACCCUGGUAGUCCACGCCGUAAACGAUGAUAACUAGUUGUUCGGUCACUUGGUGACUGAGUGACGCAGCUAACGCAUUAAGUUAUCCGCCUGGGGAUACGGUCGCAAAGAUUUAAAAACCUCAAAAUAGAAUUAGUACGGCGUGAGACGUGCCGAACGACGACGACGAGGGAGGUAGG